GGAACCGAAAGGGGACCGACCUUCGGGAGCCAUGCCAGGUGCUGCAUGGCUGUCGUCAGCUCGUGUCGUGAGAUGUUCGGUUAAGUCCGGUAACGAGCGCAACCCCUGCCGGUAGUUACAAGUGUCUACCGGGACUGCCCGUAGAAAGCGGGAGGAAGGUGGGGAUGACGUCAAGUCAGCAUGGCCUUGAUGCCUAGGGCGACACACACGCUACAAUGGCCGGUACAAUGGGUCGCCAACCCGCGAGGGGGAGCCAAUCCAGUGAAAGCCGGUCUCAGUUCGGAUUGCAGGCUGCAACCCGCCUGCAUGAAGUCGGAGUUGCUAGUAACCGCAGGUCAGCAGUACUGCGGUGAAUACGUUCCCGGGCCUUGUACACACCGCCCGUCACGUCAUGGGAGCUGGACAUGCCUGAAGUCGGUGGGCUAACCGUAAGGAGGCAACCGCCAAAGGCAGGGCUGGUGACUGGGACGAAGUCGUAACAAGGUAGCUGUAGCGGAAGC
rnacentral:rRNA from 1 species